GUACUUACCUGGCUGGGGAGAUGUCGUGAUCACUAAGGUGAUUUUCCCAGGGAAGCCAUAUCCAUUGCACCCUGGAUGUGUGGACCCCUGCGAUUUCCCCAAAUAUGGGAAACUCGACCGCAUAAUUUGUGGUGGUGGGGGACCAUGUGUACCCUCUCCCCGA